rnacentral:rRNA from 1 species
UAGGGAAUCUUCGGCAAUGGACGAAAGUCUGACCGAGCAACGCCGCGUGAGUGAAGAAGGUUUUCGGAUCGUAAAACUCUGUUGUUAGAGAAGAACAAGGACGUUAGUAACUGAACGUCCCCUGACGGUAUCUAGCCAGAAAGCCACGGCUAACUACGUGCCAGCAGCCGCGGUAAUACGUAGGUGGCAAGCGUUGUCCGGAUUUAUUGGGCGUAAAGCGAGCGCAGGCGGUUUCUUAAGUCUGAUGUGAAAGCCCCCGGCUCAACCGGGGAGGGUCAUUGGAAACUGGGAGACUUGAGUGAGAAGAGGAGAGUGGAAUUCCAUGUGUAGCGGUGAAAUGCGUAGAUAUAUGGAGGAACACCAGUGGCGAAGGCGGCUCUCUGGUCUGUAACUAACGCUGAGGCUCGAAAGCGUGGGGAGCAAACAGG